UGCACCUGGACAAAGGAGCUCUCCUCAGCUUGCCUUUGGCGUGACAAAGACAGUGCUUCUCACAGCACGUCUUAUUAGGAGCCUGGCUUCAAAUCCAAUAGAAUGUGCAAGUCUGAAUGGGGCUUGUCACAGUGCUGAUUCACAGUAGCGAGAUGCCAGAAAUGGCUGAUGAUGAACUAUUGCUGUUAUAAUAGAGGAGAACUUCUUUUAUUGUCUCCCCUCCCCUCAUUUUUAAUAGCUCAGCCUGAGGUAGCAGACUUGAAAAAGCAUAAUAUUAAGUUUAGGUACCUGGUGCAUCUCAUUGCAAAUCUUUGGCUAACCGUUUCACAGACAUACUCUCUUGACACACACAAAAAUCUUGAUAAGGAAUUUUAAAGACGAGAAGAUUCCCUGCCUCAAGUCAUGCGAUGUUUGUACAGCAAGCAGCUGAGAAGAGAAACUGGAAACACUGUUCUUCAACACUUAUUGGCACAACUAGAUGUUCAUCAGAAGAUGGAGCAGCAGCUUCAGCGGAGGGCUUGGAACCAAUUCCCCCAUGAAUACAGCAGUCCUACUGUAAUCCUUCUUAAGGCUCUGCAAGCAUCCCGUGC